CGGACACCUCCGUCAGUCUUUUCAGUUGUCUUCUGCUGACAGUUACCAUGUGGUCCAGGAUCUUAACUCGCUUGCUGAUUCUAAGCAUACUUUUCGCUGUGUCUUCCCAGGUUAUGAGCAUCUAUUCUCCAGAUAUCUUGGAAUGCCGCCACAAAUGCGCCAGGAAACUCAGAAAUAGAAUUUGCAGGAUCGAUUUGUUGUGCAUGUUCUUAAAAAACAAGCAGUGAAUCGUCGACAGAGAACCAAACCACGGUGUCUGCACUUGCUGUAUGAUGAAAUAAAUAAAGAUUAAACUGUCUAUC